UCUCACUCCUUCACUCAGGAAACCUGUUUGACUGUCCCCCCGGGUCGGGACACAUCAUGACCAAAUGGGGUUUGUCCUAGGAAUGCUAGGCAUUUCUCUACAGAGAAAUAUCUUCCUUCAUCAUUCCUAUUCACCACCACACUGUGGGUUCUGACCAGGAUAAGGCUUCCAGCCAGCCAGGAUCACAGGCAUGUCUGGAGA